GCCCCACUUAGGUCAGCCCUAGUAGCAGCUGCGGCCAAUGGAGCUCCACCUAGGCCAGUCCCAGCCCCACCUAGCCCAGCCCCAGUGGCAGCUGUGGCCAGUGGAGUUGCAGGACUACCUGCGGGAGAUGCUGGAGGGUCCG